UGUAAGCUGUUGACCAGCUUUGCUUAGCUUAGAUAUGCAACACUCCCAGGCAGAGCCCUUGGCUUGCACUAUUUUUAUCUCCAGCAGCAGGAGGGAAUCCUGUAGAUCUUGUGUGUGUUAAGAAACUCAAGGGGAAAGAAAGUGCAACUGCUGUGAUCUUCUUAACACAAAGAAUGAACUGAAUCCUAGGCUUUUCAAUAGGAAUCGAGAUGCCCAAAAGAAAAUUGGACAUGGAGGUUCCUCAGGUGUUAAAGUUGGGUUCUCUCUACCUCUGUUUCUCUCUGAGCUCUGUUUCUGAAUCUCAAGAAAUAUGUAUCCAGGCCAGAAGUGCAACACUCCUUACAGUUAUUAGGCUAAAGAGCAUGAAAGGACAGGGGCAAUUGAUGGAAGCCAAUGUUCAGAGUCACAGCCAGCAGCAGUCCUAUUGCUGUGGCUGCUGGAUGCAGCUGUGGAUACAGCUGUGGAUACAGCAAGAACACCUUUGGAUCAAAGACCUGCUGGGACCUGUGCCUCAGGCAUGGUGGUUGUGAGCCCUUGAGGGGUGAGCUGCUUGGGAGAGUAAGUGUGAGGCAUCCAGUGGGCUCAAGCCUUCUGCAGCAACUUCCCUGCAGUUCCCAGCUGUGCAUUUUCCUCAUGCUCCACCAUGAAGAUGGGAUUUACAGCCACUCAGCAGUGCUGCUAUCAGUAGCUUGACCAGCUCAAGUCUAUCAGGCUUGAAAGGAAUUUUUUUCUUUAUUUUUAAAAAUCCUUUCCUGCUCCACUUCUUUCUCCAUCAUUGAGUUAAAAGUCUGUUAGCAUCUCCUUCGGAAUAAUUCUGCCUUUAAAUUUUGAUGAGUCAGUGAGUCCAUGCAAAGCUUUUUAAAAGCUUUUAAUUCUAAGCUUUGGGGAUUUUACACAGCCAGUUUAAUCUGUAAUGACUUUUUUUCAUUUCCACUUGAACUUUCUGCUGUUCUGGUGCUCUUUAACUCCUGCAAGGCCUCAUUUAUGUUCUCUUGAAACACUUCACUGGGAGAUGAAUGGUUCUUCCAAUACUCCCUUUUUAUUAAUGUGUAGGUUUAUAAGUGAAGGAAUUAAAUGUAGCUUGAAGAAGACCUCACCUCCUAAGGUGUUUGCUGUUGUGGCUGCACCAUUCUUUGGGGAGUCUGUAGCAGCUGAGCUGCAGCCUCUGUGUGUGUGUGUAACAGGGUGUGUGUGCACAGCACUGAAACCGUUCCUGCAUCUCCCCUCCCAAGCAGUUUUUGCAUCUUAGGGACAUGGAUGCUACAACAACCCAUGACAGCCUUCCAGGAAGGACCAGACCCAGCUUGGUUUGUAAAACUGAGGGGUUGGUUUUGUGCUGAGGGAUGGUGCCAACCGUCACACUUGCUGAGCAGAAAGAACCUGAGCUGCAGAAAACAAAAUUGGGCUUUGCAUGGCUAAAGGUGAAGGGACAUGUUGGCACAGCAGUAGCAAAGAGAACAAUGUUUCGGUGGCCCUUCUCUGCAGGACAGGUAGCCAGGCCAAGCCUUUUUGACACAUGGGAUGUCUCUCAGCAGCAGCACUCCUAAAGCACCUCUGCUUCACCUGUCUUCAGGUAUGAGGUAGUCACUAGGCAGCUGCUUGAGUGGAAAAAAAGGAAAAAAAUAAGCAAAGAAAAUGAGGGAGAAAAGGGUGAUUUUUGUUGUACUUUGAAACCCUCUUCUGUUAUCUGUGUUGUAACAUGUCUCAGCUUUGAUAGCUGCUUAGUUAUCUUCUGGCCAAAUGUGAUGAUGUACAGAAGCUUUGUACCCCCUUUGAUACUCACUCACACAAACAUAGGCACUGUAGUGGAAGCAGCUGUCAGCUGGGAAAUUGCACAGAAGCUGCUGGGUUUUCAUGUAAAUUAUGCAACUAUUCAGACAUCCUAGUGGGAGGCUACAGUGUGAUGUUUGGGCUGGAUUUUCUACAGUGUUUAGGUGCUGGAAGAUUCAGAUAAAUACUUUUGGGGACUGAUUGAGAAGCCUCCAUGCCUACAUCCUACUGAAAUCAUUGGUGUUUUGCUUUCAGAGGUGUCAAGACACUUCUCAGAAGUCCCAUUUUCAAGAAUGUCGGUCACAUGUCCCAGAGAGCUGGCAGCUACAGAAAUUCCCAGUGCCAAGGCAGAGUAAACAAGAUAAAUGUACAAUUUGGUGUUCUUGCCAUUGAUAAAGGAUUGCCACUGGAACAUCAAAGAUCAUCUCUAAAUAAGGCUUUGCAGGGGAGAAUUUCAGGAGCCCUGGCAGGGAGGUGUCCUGUCACAGGCAUCCUGCUGGGUGGCACAGCAUGCAGGUGAGAUGAAAGACGCCUCAGUCUACCUCAGUUCCAGUGCAGACAGAAAACCAGGAGAGAAGGACAAAGAACAGCAAAUAAGGAGGUUUGCAGAAUGCCAACACAGCAAUGACAGUGAGAAAUACAAGACAAAGCAGUUAACCACACAAGGAAAUAAAUGCUCCUGUGGGAAAAAUCA